rnacentral:rRNA from 1 species
AUGAACGCUGGCGGCGUGCUUAACACAUGCAAGUCGAGCGAAGCACUUAAGUUUGAUUCUUCGGAUGAAGACUUUUGUGACUGAGCGGCGGACGGGUGAGUAACGCGUGGGUAACCUGCCUCAUACAGGGGGAUAACAGUUAGAAAUGGCUGCUAAUACCGCAUAAGACCACAGUACUGCAUGGUACAGUGGUGAAAACUCCGGUGGUAUGAGAUGGACCCGCGUCUGAUUAGGUAGUUGGUGAGGUAACGGCCCACCAAGCCGACGAUCAGUAGCCGACCUGAGAGGGUGACCGGCCACAUUGGGACUGAGACACGGCCCAGACUCCUACGGGAGGCAGCAGUGGGGAAUAUUGCACAAUGGGCGAAAGCCUGAUGCAGCGACGCCGCGUGAAGGAUGAAGUAUUUCGGUAUGUAAACUUCUAUCAGCAGGGAAGAAAAUGACGGUACCUGACUAAGAAGCCCCGGCUAACUACGUGCCAGCAGCCGCGGUAAUACGUAGGGGGCAAGCGUUAUCCGGAUUUACUGGGUGUAAAGGGAGCGUAGACGGCUGUGCAAGUCUGAAGUGAAAGGCAUGGGCUCAACCUGUGGACUGCUUUGGAAACUGUGCAGCUAGAGUGUCGGAGAGGUAAGUGGAAUUCCUAGUGUAGCGGUGAAAUGCGUAGAUAUUAGGAGGAACACCAGUGGCGAAGGCGGCUUACUGGACGAUGACUGACGUUGAGGCUCGAAAGCGUGGGGAGCAAACAGGAUUAGAUACCCUGGUAGUCCACGCUGUAAACGAUGAUUACUAGGUGUGGGGGGUCUGACCCCUUCCGUGCCGGAGUUAACACAAUAAGUAAUCCACCUGGGGAGUACGACCGCAAGGUUGAAACUCAAAGGAAUUGACGGGGGCCCGCACAAGCAGUGGAGUAUGUGGUUUAAUUCGACGCAACGCGAAGAACCUUACCAAGGCUUGACAUAUACAGGAAUAUAUAAGAGAUUAUAUAGCUCUUCGGAGUCUGUAUACAGGUGGUGCAUGGUUGUCGUCAGCUCGUGUCGUGAGAUGUUGGGUUAAGUCCCGCAACGAGCGCAACCCUUAUCUUCAGUAGCCAGCAUUUAAGAUGGGCACUCUGGAGAGACUGCCAGGGAUAACCUGGAGGAAGGUGGGGAUGACGUCAAAUCAUCAUGCCCCUUAUGACCAGGGCUACACACGUGCUACAAUGGCGUAAACAAAGGGAAGCAGAGCCGCGAGGCCGAGCAAAUCUCAAAAAUAACGUCUCAGUUCGGAUUGUAGUCUGCAACUCGACUACAUGAAGCUGGAAUCGCUAGUAAUCGCAGAUCAGAAUGCUGCGGUGAAUACGUUCCCGGGUCUUGUACACACCGCCCGUCACACCAUGGGAGUCAGUAACGCCCGAAGUCAGUGACCCAACCGAAAGGAGGGAGCUGCCGAAGGUGGGACCGAUAACUGGGGUG